rnacentral:rRNA from 1 species
CGAUGAAGGCCUUCGGGUUGUAAAGCACUGUCGAGGGGGAGAAACGUCCCGCAAGGGGCUUGAUCUAUCCCUGGAGGAAGCACCGGGCUAAGUUCGUGU